GGGUUGUGAGGUUAAGCGACUAAGCGUACACGGUGGAUGCCCUGGCAGUCAGAGGCGAUGAAGGGCGUGCUAAUCUGCGAUAAGCGCCGGUAAGGUGAUAUGAACCGUUAUAACCGGCGAUACCCGAAUGGGGAAACCCAGUGUGAUUCGUCACACUAUCAUUAACUGAAUCCAUAGGUUAAUGAGGCGAACCGGGGGAACUGAAACAUCUAAGUACCACGAGGAAAAGAAAUCAACCGAGAUUCCCCCAGUAGCGGCGAGCGAACGGGGAGGAGCCCAGAGCCUGAAUCAGCAUGUGUGUUAGUGGAAGCGUCUGGAAAGGCGCGCGAUACAGGGUGACAGCCCCGUACACAAAAGCGCAUGUGCUGUGAGCUCGAUGAGUAGGGCGGGACACGUGGUAUCCUGUCUGAAUAUGGGGGGACCAUCCUCCAAGGCUAAAUACUCCUGACUGACCGAUAGUGAACCAGUACCGUGAGGGAAAGGCGAAAAGAACCCCGGCGAGGGGAGUGAAAAAGAACCUGAAACCGUGUACGUACAAGCAGUGGGAGCCCCACCACUAAGCCAGUGGUGAACUCCACAUCCGCAUCCUUUGCUGAGGAUACGGUUAACGGAGCGAAAGCGACGUUCAACCGCAAAACAAGCAGAGGGGGCUUAG
rnacentral:rRNA from 1 species